rnacentral:rRNA from 1 species
UAGGGAAUCUUCCGCAAUGGACGAAAGUCUGACGGAGCAACGCCGCGUGAGUGAAGAAGGUUUUCGGAUCGUAAAACUCUGUUGUCAGGGAAGAACAAGUACGGGAGUAACUGACCGUACCUUGACGGUACCUGGCCAGAAAGCCACGGCUAACUACGUGCCAGCAGCCGCGGUAAUACGUAGGUGGCAAGCGUUGUCCGGAAUUAUUGGGCGUAAAGCGCGCGCAGGCGGCCUUUUAAGUCUGAUGUGAAAGCCCCCGGCUCAACCGGGGAGGGUCAUUGGAAACUGGAAGGCUUGAGUGCAGAAGAGAAGAGCGGAAUUCCACGUGUAGCGGUGAAAUGCGUAGAGAUGUGGAGGAACACCAGUGGCGAAGGCGGCUCUUUGG